AUUGAACGCUGGCGGCAGGCCUAACACAUGCAAGUCGAGCGAGCGGCGGACGGGUGAGUAAUGCCUGGGAAUUCCCCAGUCGAGGGAGAUAACCGUUGGAAACGACUGCUAAUACCGCAUACGCAUAGAUUGCCGAGGUGGGAUUCGCUAGUUGGUGAGGUAAUGGCUCAACGAGGCGACGAUCCCUAGCUGGUCUGAGAGGAUGAUCAGCAACACUUGAACUGAGACACGGUCCAGACUCCUACGGGAGGCAGCAGUGGGGAAUAUUGCACAAUGGGGGAAAGCCUGAUGCAGCCAUGCCGCGUGUGUGAAGAAGGCCUUCGGGUUGUAAAGCACUUUCAGCGAGGAGGCGUUACUCGCAGAAGAAGCACCGGCUAACUCCGUGCCAGCAGCCGCGGUAAUUC
rnacentral:rRNA from 1 species